AUUGAACGCUGGCGGCAGGCCUAACACAUGCAAGUCGAACGAGUGGCGGACGGGUGAGUAAUGUCUGGGAAACUGCCUGAUGGAUGGGGAUAACUACUGGAAACGGUAGCUAAUACCGCAUACCAUCAGAUGUGCCCAGAGGGGAUUAGCUUGUUGGUGGGGUAACGGCUCACCAAUGCGACGACCCCUAGCUGGUCUGAAAGGAUGACCGGCCACACUGGAACUUGGACACGGUCCAGACUCCUACGGGAGGCAGCAGUGGGGAAUAUUGCACAAGGGGCGCAAGCCUGAUGCAGCCAUGCGGCGUGUAUGAAGAAGGCCUUCGGGUUGUAAAGUACUUUCAGCGGGGAGGCGUUACCCGCAGAAGAAGCACCGGCUAACUCCGUGCCAGCAGCCGCGGUAAUAC
rnacentral:rRNA from 1 species